rnacentral:rRNA from 1 species
CACGUAGGGUGCGAGCGUUGUCCGGAUUUAUUGGGCGUAAAGAGCUCGUAGGCGGCUCGUCGCGUCGACCGUGAAAACCCGCGGCUUAACUGCGGGCUUGCGGUUGAUACGGGCGGGCUAGAGUUCGGUAGGGGAGACUGGAAUUCCUGGUGUAGCGGUGAAAUGCGCAGAUAUCAGGAGGAACACCGAUGGCGAAGGCAGGUCUCUGGGCCACUACUGACGCUGAGAAGCGAAAGCAUGGGGAGCGAACAGG